CACCGCCCGUCACACCAUGGAAGUCUGCUGCACCAGAAGUAGGUAGUCUAACCGCAAGGAGGGCGCCUACCACGGUGUGGCCGAUGACUGGGGUG
rnacentral:rRNA from 1 species